UACGAAAGGGGCAAGCGUUGUUCGGAAUUACUGGGCGUAAAGCGCACGUAGGCGGCGAUGUAAGUUGGGGGUGAAAUCCCGGGGCUCAACCCCGGAACUGCCUCCAAAACUACAUGGCUCGAGGAUGUGAGAGGUUGGCGGAAUUCCGAGUGUAGAGGUGAAAUUCGUAGAUAUUCGGAAGAACACCGGUGGCGAAGGCGGCCAACUGGCACAUUUCUGACGCUGAGGUGCGAAAGCGUGGGGAGCAAACAGG
rnacentral:rRNA from 1 species